rnacentral:lncRNA from 1 species
AUGUUGAGACAAAGUCACCCCCGAGCUGGGGGGACGCACGGAGCCCCGGGGACGCGGCCGGCCCCUGCCCGCUCCGGGGAGCCCGUCCUCGGCCCCUUCGGCUCCUCCGCUGGCAAAACGCCUCCGGUCGGAGGCUGGGGCUGGACCCACGCUGGUCACCUGCGGAGGCGGCAGCCAUCCCGCGCCGGGAGCGUUGCGGGGGGCCGGAGCCGGGAUCGCAGAGGGGCGCUUGGCCGGGAGGCUCGGUCGCGUCCUCCCCGCCGCGCUUCAUCGCGGCGUCCCGCGGGGCCAAUUAAUGCCUCUCGCCGUCCCGAAACGAUACCCGUCAGUUCAAAGCCACCUGGACGCCAUCUGCCGCUCCGCGCGCGCCUCCCGGCAGGUCGRUGCCUCCUGCCGGGCCCUGGCACCGGGGGCUCCGGCCGGCCGAUCGGAUCGGAUCGGCUCAGCUCGGCAGCCUUCCCGGGAUGCCCGGCUGCGGAGAACCCUGCAAACGCCCUGCUCAGCCCGGCCCACCACAGCACUGGGACGCGGCGCGGUGUCCCGUGGGCAGUCGCCCUCACGGGAGCAAAGCUUUUUUUCUUGUGUGCAAACAGCAUUUCCAAUAUUCCAGGUUUCCMUGUCACCUCGUGGCCUCAGACAUGCCGGGGCCGGGACCAGCGAAGGCGGCCGCUGCCUGGGGGCACWGGGAUGCGCAGACGCAGCCGGGUCCCUGCAAGGCGUAAACCAGCCCUUCCUCUUCCCCGAAUCCAACGGCGCGAUGCUCGUCAGGGCCUGCCGGCGGGGACGGCGCUGAGCAGAGGAGAGGGCUGCUGCGGGACGGCGGAGCCCCCGAGGGGCUUUCGGGAGGGAGAACCGGGGCGGCGGGUGCAGCGGCCCCGCGGGGCACAGCCGGGCUGCAAAAACAUGCCGCAAAAACGGGCUGCAAAAACAGGCCACUUCCUCGGCUCGGAUGCAAAUUCAGCCCUAAGCUUCGCGUGCCCAGAAGCAAAAUUCAGCCCUGCUUUGCUGCCCUCUUAUUUCCCAGCAUAUUCAUCUUUUUCCGGGGGCCUCACCACGGUCUCGGGUAUAAAUCUUGCGCCAAAUCCGGCGGCCUUGGCCGGGCUCCCCGCGGUCCCGGCGCCGCUGCCGGCCCGGGGGCUCCGGCACGGCGGUUUUCUCGCCUCCGCCCCGCCAGCGCCGGCUCAACCUUCCCCUCCCUCCCCGCGGCCCCCGCGAACGCGCUCCUCCGUCUGUGCCAUUUAUCACCGCUAA